rnacentral:rRNA from 1 species
UGGGGAAUAUUGGGCAAUGGGCGCAAGCCUGACCCAGCAACGCCGCGUGAAGGAAGAAGGCUUUCGGGUUGUAAACUUCUUUAGACAGGGACGAAACAAAUGACGGUACCUGUAAAAUAAGCCACGGCUAACUACGUGCCAGCAGCCGCGGUAAUACGUAGGUGGCGAGCGUUAUCCGGAUUUACUGGGUGUAAAGGGCGUGUAGGCGGUACAAUAAGUCAGAUGUGAAAUCUCCCGGCUCAACUGGGAGGCUGCAUCUGAAACUGUUGAACUUGAGUACUGGAGGGGAAAGCGGAAUUCCUAGUGUAGCGGUAAAAUGCGUAGAUAUUAGGAGGAACACCGGUGGCGAAGGCGGCUUUCUGGACAGUAACUGACGCUGAGGCGCGAAAGCGUGGGGAGCAAACAGG